rnacentral:ncRNA from 1 species
CCAUAUGCUCUACUUGACAGGUGAUGUUAAUUUGUUUACGUCCUCGUAAUUUAGUGACUCGGUAAAAGUGACCGGUAGAAUAAGUACCAGACUUAAACAAAAAAUUAAUACUGGGGUGAAUUUCUGAUAUUUCAUUAGCCGAUGCGCGACUCUUAGUCGAGAACAGUGUCGGGUGGGGAGUUUGACUGGGGUGGUACGUCUGUCAAACGGUAACGCAGGUGUCCCAAAGCGAGCUCAGCGUGGACGGUAACCACACGUCGAACAAAAGGGCAAUAGCUCGCUCGAUUUCGAUUCUCAGUACGAAUACGGACCGCGUGAGUGUGGCCCAUCGAUCCUUUCCGAACAGCGGCGAGCUAUGCGUCCGCCGAGAGGUGUCAGAAAGGUUACCAUAGGGAUAACUGGCUUGUGGCGGCCAAGUUUUCGCAGCGACGCCGCUUUUUGAACUUGACGGGGAG